GGUGUACUCUCCCAUUAUUUAUUAUUGUUUACCUUUUUUACUAUAGCAUUGUGUAAACCCCACUUGGACUGACUGGCUGGUGUGGCUCUCCUUUGGGAUGCUUGCUAGAUUCGGCACAUAUACUGUGGAAUCCUUUUUCACAGUUUGAUUUAAUGGCAUACAGCUGAUUUUAAUUGUGAUUGGAUGUUCUUGGACCUGGACGGCUUGUUGCACUGCCCUUGAUAAAGCUCAAUCGAGCGAAACAUGUCGGGCCUCCUCCAACAGGUUCCUCUGCUACUGUUUUAGUCGCUAACAUCACCUAUGAGACCAUCCAUGUCUUGUUUGAUAUUCUGUGUUAUUUAAAAACCAAUUUAUAUGUCUGAAUAAAUUAUUAUUUUUAUAUUUA